rnacentral:rRNA from 1 species
AGGAUGAACGCUGGCGGCGUGCCUAACACAUGCAAGUCGAACGUCCUGUCUCGCAAGAGGCAGGGAGUGGCGGACGGGUGAGUACCACGUGGGUCAUCUACCGUGAGGUGAGGAAUACCGGCGAGAAAUCGCCGACAAGACCGCAUAGGCUCGAUGCAAGUCGAGCAAAGCUCUUUCGAGAGAGGGAGCGCCACACGAGGAGCCUGCGCCCGAUUAGCUAGCUGGUGGAGUAAUGGUUCACCAGGGCGACGAUCGGUAGCUGGUCUGAGAGGACGAUCAGCCACACUGGGAUUGAGAACGGCCCAGACUCCUACGGGGGGCAGCAGUGAGGAAUUUUCGCAAUGGGGGCAACCCUGAACGAGCAACGCCGCGUGCAGGAAGAAGGUUUUCGGAUCGUAAACUGCUUUUCUCGGGGAAGAGAACGGACGGUACCCGAGGAAUCAGCCCGGCUAACUACGUGCCAGCAGCCGCGGU